rnacentral:rRNA from 1 species
UGGUCUUAGCUUGCUAAGGCCGAUGGCGACCGGCGCACGGGUGAGUAACACGUAUCCAACCUGCCGAUAACUCGGGGAUAGCCUUUCGAAAGAAAGAUUAAUACCGGAUAGUAUAACGAGAAGGCAUCAUGAGUCCACAUGUUCACAUGAUUAAAGGUAUUCCGGUAGACGAUGGGGAUGCGUUCCAUUAGUUUGUUGGCGGGGUAACGGCCCACCAAGACAUCGAUGGAUAGGGGUUCUGAGAGGAAGGUCCCCACAUUGGAACUGAGACACGGUCCAAACUCC